AUUGAACGCUGGCGGCAUGCUUUACACAUGCAAGUCGAACGGUAACAGGCCUUCGGGUGCUGACGAGUGGCGAACGGGUGAGUAAUGCAUCGGAACGUGCCCAGAGGUGGGGGAUAACGCAGCGAAAGCUGUGCUAAUACCGCAUGUGAUCUGAGGAUGAAAGCGGGGGACCAGGCAGCAAUGUUUGGCCUCGCGCCUUUGGAGCGGCCGAUGUCCGAUUAGGUAGUUGGUGGGGUAAAGGCCUACCAAGCCGACGAUCUGUAGCUGGUCUGAGAGGACGACCAGCCACACUGGGACUGAGACACGGCCCAGACUCCUACGGGAGGCAGCAGUGGGGAAUUUUGGACAAUGGGCGCAAGCCUGAUCCAGCAAUGCCGCGUGCGGGAAGAAGGCCUUCGGGUUGUAAACCGCUUUUGUACGGAACGAAAAGGCUCUGGCUAAUACCUGGGGCUGAUGACGGUACCGUAAGAAUAAGCACCGGCUAACUACGUG
rnacentral:rRNA from 1 species